rnacentral:rRNA from 1 species
UUAGAGUUUGAUCAUGGCUCAGGACGAACGCUGGCGGCGUGCCUAAUACAUGCAAGUCGAACGCGUCUUGGUUAAUGAUGUUAGGUGCUUGCAUUUAACUGAUUUAACAUUGAGACGAGUGGCGAACUGGUGAGUAACACGUGGGUAACCUGCCCUGAAGUGGGGGAUAACACUUGGAAACAGGUGCUAAUACCGCAUAACAACGAAAACCACAUGGUUUUCGUUUGAAAGAUGGCUUCGGCUGUCACUUUUGGAUGGACCCGCGGCGUAUUAGCUUGUUGGUGAGGUAACGGCUCACCAAGGCCAUGAUACGCAGCCGACCUGAGAGGGUAAUCGGCCACAUUGGGACUGAGACACGGCCCAAACUCCUACGGGAGGCAGCAGUAGGGAAUCUUCCACAAUGGACGAAAGUCUGAUGGAGCAACGCCGCGUGAGUGAUGAAGGGUUUCGGCUCGUAAAACUCUGUUGUUGGAGAAGAACAGGUGAUAGAGUAACUGUUAUCAUCUUGACGGUAUCCAACCAGAAAGCCACGGCUAACUACGUGCCAGCAGCCGCGGUAAUACGUAGGUGGCAAGCGUUGUCCGGAUUUAUUGGGCGUAAAGCGAGCGCAGGCGGUUUUUUAGGUCUGAUGUGAAAGCCUUCGGCUUAACCGGAGAAGGGCAUCGGAAACCGGGAGACUUGAGUGCAGAAGAGGACAGUGGAACUCCAUGUGUAGCGGCGAAAUGCGUAGAUAUAUGGAAGAACACCAGUGGCGAAGGCGGCUGUCUGGUCUGCAACUGACGCUGAGGCUCGAAAGCAUGGGUAGCGAACAGGAUUAGAUACCCUGGUAGUCCAUGCCGUAAACGAUGAGUGCUAAGUGUUGGAGGGUUUCCGCCCUUCAGUGCUGCAGCUAACGCAUUAAGCACUCCGCCUGGGGAAUACGACCGCAAGGUUGAAACUCAAAGGAAUUGACGGCGGCCCGCACAAACGGUGGAGCAUGUCGUUUAAUUCGAUGCU